rnacentral:rRNA from 1 species
ACUGAACGUUGGCGGCAGGCCUAACACAUGCAAGUCGAGCGGAUGAAGGGAGCUUGCUCCUGGAUUCAGCGGCGGACGGGUGAGUAAUGCCUAGGAAUCUGCCUGGUAGUGGGGGAUAACGUCCGGAAACGGGCGCUAAUACCGCAUACGUCCUGAGGGAGAAAGUGGGGGAUCUUCGGACCUCACGCUAUCAGAUGAGCCUAGGUCGGAUUAGCUAGUUGGUGGGGUAAAGGCCUACCAAGGCGACGAUCCGUAACUGGUCUGAGAGGAUGAUCAGUCACACUGGAACUGAGACACGGUCCAGACUCCUACGGGAGGCAGCAGUGGGGAAUAUUGGACAAUGGGCGAAAGCCUGAUCCAGCCAUGCCGCGUGUGUGAAGAAGGUCUUCGGAUUGUAAAGCACUUUAAGUUGGGAGGAAGGGCAGUAAGUUAAUACCUUGCUGUUUUGACGUUACCAACAGAAUAAGCACCGGCUAACUUCGUG